UGCUCCAAGCAUUAAUGAAAACACUCUUAACAGAACUAUGUGUCAAAGGAUUUACCAGAAACUCGACUAUUACAGCUCAGUGUCAUCUAAAUGACACACUUAUUGGCACAGAACAAGCUUCACAGAUGGGGCCACGCUGUGCCCCUAAUUGGCAGGUGGAGCUCUCGGCCUCAGCUGUGGCUGCUGAGACUAAUGAUGAGUCAGGCCGGACGGGCAGCAGAGAAGCGUCUGGAACGUCUCUGUCUACUUGCACAGUGACAGAGUUGCCGGGGAUGAUGUUGUUUCAGGCUGAUUAAUUUGAGUGAGAACCUUAGCGGCAGCAGCCUCAAGCAAAUGAGACAGUCCCCCUGGGAAGGAUGGCAGUGGAGAGCUUCUCUUCGGCAUGUCAUAUUGCAUCUACUGGUACUUUGUGACAGAUGAUGCCACAAAUAAUUCUAAUUUCUUCAUCCCAUCCUCUCCAACCAUUUGGUUUCAUCGUGCUUGCACAAAGACGAGGAAUAGCAGAGGACAAGGGGGAGGGAUGGAGGUUCAGGCCAUGAAGUAACAAUGGGCUUGGAUUAUGGAGCAGAGCCGACAGAGGGAGGAGGAGCCAGGAGAGGUCCAUUUUAUACACUAAAUUUUAUUUAAUUUACAAAGCCUUUCAACCACAUAAUCUGUAAAAACAUAUUAGUUCACUGUCUGGCGAUGUGUUUAUGCUGAUAAUG